rnacentral:misc_RNA from 1 species
AUUCACGCGGAUCCUUCGUUGACUCUCUGUGUGUAACGCCCUCUUUCGCUAUUUCGUCUCUCGCUGUCGUGUUCUUUUUUUUUGUUGCCGUUCUUGUUUUAUAACUCUCUGUGUGUCUCUUUCUCUUAGUCGACACACGCUGCUGAGCUGCCAUACGUGGCUAUACACUUCUGCUGUUUUCUUUCGCUUUUAUGUUUCGCGUUUUCAUUGCAUGUGUGCUCACGUCUCGCGAUCAUAUACGUUUCUAGUUUAGUGCCACUUCGCGCAUAGCGGUGCUCUUCGUCGGGUCUGCGGUCGUGUGUUUUACCGCACCGUUCUCUCUCUCUGUGUCCUCGUACCAGCCGUGUCGUGGCCCGUGUGAAAAAGCGCUUCCUCUCGCCCGUGCCUUGCAGGCUGAGCGAAGCACAACAGCAGCACCCCCGUCUUUUUCUUCCCUUGCUCUCUUCCCUGUUGUGUGACUGAGGACACAUUGCGAACCGGAUUCGCGAAUCAUGGCCACGGUUUACACUAGCGUGCCUGGGAAGGAAUUCGCGAAGGGGGUGACGCUGGAUGAGGCGAAUCGCAUCGUGCGCGUUGACGCGGGCCUGCCGUCGUUGUCUGCCCUGCAGGUGGGCAUGGUCGUGCGCUCCAUUGGUGGGGUGCCGGUAGGGGAUGGCCGAUGCGAGCAGGCCCGCCACCACAGCAACCGAUCGCAGGUGCUGGUGGUGCUUGGCGCGCCGCCCAAGGACGAAUUUGAUCUAAGCUCUGACGACGACGACGCAGCAAACUUUAAGCCUCCGUCGACACUCCCCCCGCUGCCGCCGGAGUUCAACAAUAGUGUGGCCCAGAACAGCUCCGCUGUUGUCUAUGAGGCCACCGUGAAGUGCGGGGCGGGCGGUUGCGUCAUCAUCAUGUGCGAGGGGGCCAAUCCGGCCUUAGCCAUUACCUUGGCGGCCGAGAAGGCAAAGGCGGAGGUCAUGUACAUUGAUACGGUGGCUCGCAUGAAGACACGGCAGACGAUCGAAAAUGCCGGCGGGGUGUUGAAGAAGUCGCUGGAGAAAGGACUGUGGAUCUACGUGGAGCAGGCGACCAAGUCUAUCACGCUGCUGCGCCAGAUUAGCGACUGCAUUAUGGAGGUUCGGGCGGCGGGCAAGAUGCACGCUCAGUCUCGCGUGCUGCUCAUGUGUGAGCCGCAUCCCCACUUCCCCGAGGCGCUGAUGCGCGGGAGCGUGACACUUCGCAGCCGGCUGCAGAACAACAAUAUGGCGGAGGUGGACAUUCGCGAAGACCUAUCGGAGAGCGCGCGCCGAAAGCAGGCCAUCCACGGCGAUGAUGUCGCCUCAAGUGAGACUGCCGCGAAGCCUGAGGUCACCAAAACCCGCAAGAAGGUGCGCAUCUCGAAUCAGGUGAACAUUGUGCACCUCGAGAAGAGCACCUUCAUGGAGAUGAGCGCGAGCGCGCAGCCUCCACUGGAAUCUGGCACAUCCCACGACGGCAUCUCACGCGUGGCCAAGUACUCCUUCGGCUCGAACGAGAACUUGAUUUCUCUCUCCUACGUGCGCGACCACCGCUUUGCGAUCGGCACGAAUAGCGGCUACGUCGUCCUGAUCGACCGCAACGGGCUCCCCCUGAUCCAGUUCCGGCCCCACAAGGCGUGCAUCUGGGAUGUCAGUUUCUCUUCUCAGUUUGACUUCUCCACGGCCUGUGAAGACGGCACGAGCGUCAUCUACAACUACUCGCUGGCCAACCAGGAGCUGACAACGGUGUCCGUGGCCUCCUUCCAAAACGACGUGUUCGCCGUCACGUACGCUAACCCGAAUGACGUGAAUAGCGGGGUGCUCUCCGGCGGGCUCAGCGCCACUGUUUGCGUCUUGCACUCAGACCGGCAAAACAGCUCCUUUAUCGCCUGCCGCACGUCUAUUCAAGCCAUGUGCGCCACUCAGAUGAACCAGGUGAUCGUCGGUGGCGGAACUGGCGCCUGCACACUUAUCGACACCAACCACUGCGUGGUGACGGAUAUUACCCACGCUCACAACAAGAAGGUGCCGGCCGUCGGCACACACGGUAACGUAGCCGUGACCGGUGGCUUCGACUGCGUCUUGCGCCUCUGGGAUGUGCGCAACGGCUUCCAUUUGACGUCACAGCGACAGCUGAACGAGGUGAUUACGGCGGUGGCGAUGAAUGAGCGCUACAUCUCAGCGUGCAGCGGCUCGAGCCUGUACGUGUGGGACCCGCGUAAAAUGGAUCGCACGCUGGCGGUGAAGGCGAAUGCCUGGAAGGACCUGACGCGUGGACUCGUGCUAGACGGCAGCACAAUUGUGACCGCCUCCGUAGACGGCGUGGCACGCAUCUGGGAGGUCAACUAAUGCGGGGUGCGAGAUACUGGCCGGGGCAGAUGUGUCGUAUAUUGGUGUAGGGAGGCGCCGGGGGACAAGAGCGAAGCGGCGCAGUUGUCUGUCGACAUGCGUGAGGGUGCACGUGUGUGUAUCGUCCUCUCUCGCACCCCCCCUACGCAUGAAGCGAUGUGGUAGGCCCAGACCUGGCGACGCUCACAUGCGAGGAUGCUUGCUGCCUCUCCGCCUUAUCAGCUGCCCCCCUCCCCCUUCCCCCUCCCCACAG